UUCAUUGGGGAAUUCAGAUAGUUCCUGGGUGAGUGUGUGCGUGCAACAAUGUAGUGCUACAUUUAAACACACAGCCCUAGAUCUCAAAGGAUAGCAUGUCCUGUUCACAAUAUAGAUUACUCCAAGUACAUUGACCAAAACCUCUCUGUGCCUCAAGCCCUGAAAGCAAGCAGAUGAAUAGGUGGAAGAGUCGAAGAGUAGAAGAAGUAGAAGGGAAGCCUCGCUGUCUUCUGAAGCACACGAGGGAGCAGAAAGGAUUGGACUAAGGGGCUUUCUGCAAGUCUGACAUCAAAAUAAGCUUCAGACCGGAGACUUUACCAACUGCAAACGUGGUUCAGCCUCAUCGGAAACUCACCUCUGCCCUGCAGAAUUCUAGAAACCAUUAAAUGAGAACAAGUUUAAUAUUGAUGCUUAGAAAACUAAUAAAUGAAAGUAAGCACCUAGAAAUGAUAGAUGAUUAUAAAUUUGUACAGUCAUCUUAAGAAUGA